UACGUAGGGGGCUAGCGUUGUCCGGAAUCAUUGGGCGUAAAGAGCGUGUAGGCGGCCCGGUAAGUCCGCUGUGAAAGUCGGGGGCUCAACCCUCGAAUGCCGGUGGAUACUGUCGGGCUAGAGUGCGGAAGAGGCGAGUGGAAUUCCUGGUGUAGCGGUGAAAUGCGCAGAUAUCAGGAGGAACACCAAUUGCGAAGGCAGCUCGCUGGGACGUAACUGACGCUGAGUCGCGAAAGCGUGGGGAGCAAACAGG
rnacentral:rRNA from 1 species